UCAAGUGACUAAGUGCAUGUGGCGGAUGCCUUGGCGAUCACAGGCGAAGAAAGACGCGGCAGCCUGCGAAAAGCUGCGGGGAGCUGGCAAACGAGCUUUGAUCCGCAGAUAUCUGAAUGGGGGAACCCACACCGCAAGGUGUAUCCGUAGCUGAAUACAUAGGUUACGGAGGCGAACGAGGAGAACUGAAACAUCUAAGUAUCCUCAGGAAAAGAAAUCAACCGAGAUUCCGGCAGUAGCGGCGAGCGAACCCGGAGGAGCCCAGCUUUUGAUAGUACGAACUUUAGCCGAAAGGUCCUGGAAAGGCCUGCUAUAGUGGGUGAUAGCCCCGUAGGCGAAAGAGUUGGUACGGUACUAAGGAAGCGAGAAGUAGAGCGGGACACGUGGAAUCCUGUUCGAAGACGGGGGGACCAUCCUCCAAGGCUAAAUACUCGUGAUCGACCGAUAGUGAACCAGUACCGUGAGGGAAAGGCGAAAAGAACCCCGGGAGGGGAGUGAAAUAGAACCUGAAACCGCAUGCAUACAAACAGUAGGAGCCUCAUCAGAGGUGACUGCGUACCUUUUGCAUAAUGGGUCAGCGACUUACAUUCUGUGGCGAGCUUAACCGAAUAGGGGAGGCGCAGCGAAAGCGAGUUCGAAAUGAGCGUCCAGUCGCAGGGUGUAGACCCGAAACCAGAUGAGCUAUCCAUGGCCAGGUUGAAGGUGUGGUAACACACACUGGAGGACCGAACCGACUAGUGUUGCAAAAUUAGCGGAUGAGCUGUGGAUAGGGGUGAAAGGCCAAACAAAUCUGGAGAUAGCUGGUUCUCCCCGAAAACUAUUGAGGUAGUGCCUCGUGUGUCGCUCCAGGGGGUAGAGCACUGUUUUGGCUAGGGGGACAUGGAGUCUUACCAAACCAAGGCAAACUCCGAAUACCUGGAAGCGUGAGCACGGGAGACAGAGCACCGGGUGCUAACGUCCGGACUCAAAAGGGAAACAACCCAGACCGCCGGCUAAGGUCCCAAAUAACAGCUAAGUGGAAAACGAAGUGGAAAGGCCGUGACAACCAGGAAGUUGGCUUAGAAGCAGCCAUCCUUCAAAGAAAGCGUAAUAGCUCACUGGUCGAGUCCUUCUGCGCGGAAGAUGUAACGGGGCUAAGCUGUUAACCGAAGCCGCGGAUGCACUGGUUAUCCAGUGCGUGGUAGGGGAGCGUUCUGUAAGUCUGCGAAGGCGGUUCGAGAGGACUGCUGGAGAUAUCAGAAGUGCGAAUGCUGACAUGAGUAACGUUAAAGCAGGUGAAAAGCCUGCUCGCCGUAAGCCCAAGGAUUCCUGCUCUACGUUCAUCGGAGCAGGGUGAGUCGGCUCCUAAGGUCAGGCCGAAAGGCGUAGCCGAUGGGAAUCAGGUUAAUAUUCCUGAACCUGCGUCAGAUGCGAUGGGGGGACGGAGCAUGAAAGAUCAUCCGGGUGUUGGAAGUCCCGGUUGUUUAGCGUAGGAGGUCUGCAGGCAAAUCCGCAGACGCAUCUCCAAGGCAAAGACACGUGCCGCCACGGCGGCGAAGUGAUCGGAAGUGCUUCCAAGAAAAGCCUCUAAGCCCCAGUCUGACGCGGACCGUACCGCAAACCGACACUGGUGGGCGAGCUGAAUAUGCUCAGGCGCUUGAGAGAACUCGGGAGAAGGAACUCGGCAAAUUGACACCGUAACUUCGGAAGAAGGUGUGCCGUAGUACCGUGAGAGGAGAGACACCUUGAGCGGGAAACGGUCUCAGAGAAUAGGUGGCUGCGACUGUUUAUUAAAAACACAGCACUCUGCAAAGUCGAAAGACGACGUAUAGGGUGUGAUGCCUGCCCGGUGCUGGAAGAUUAAUUGAUGGGGUGAGAGCCCUUGAUCGAAGUCCCAGUAAACGGCGGCCGUAACUAUAACGGUCCUAAGGUAGCGAAAUUCCUUGUC
rnacentral:rRNA from 1 species